UACCUCGGGCAGUUGCUUUUUUACAGUAGACGAGUUAUCAGAAGCAGAAAUGGCAAUCAUUCGCUACUGCCAACAACUGAGAUUCAGUGAGGAGAUUGCGGCGCUGUCCUCAAGCAAAGUAACAGUGAGUCGCCAGAGUUCCCUAUACAGGCUAGAUCCAGUCCUGGAUGAUGGGCUCUUUAGAAUUGGAGGGAGAUUGAGUAAGGGAGCAAUGCUUGAGGAGGUUAAACAUCCACUCAUCCUUUCAAAAGAUCAGAAUGUCUCUUCACUCAUUCUUAAGUAUAUUCAUCAAAAUCUGGGUCAUAGUGGACGCAGUCAUACCCUAUCUGCUGUAAGGAAGAAGUUUUUGAUUACUAAUGCCAACUCGGCCGUAUGGAAGGUCAUCAGUGAAUUAGGGUUCUGUAGGCGCUAUAAUGGAAGAGCUAUAGAAGAUAUACAGAAGAUGGCUGACCUUCCAAAGGUGCGAGUCCUCCCUGACCUACCACCCUUCACCAAUACAGGAGUGAAUAACGUCGGUCCUGUCCGAGUGAAGAGGGGAAGAUCAACCUGUAAGCGCUACAGAGCCAUUUGUACCUGUAUGUCAAGCAGAGCUGUCCACUUGGAGGUAGCUGUGCCUUUGGAACAAGAUGCCUGCAUUAAUGCCCUGCUCCGUUUCAUCAGCAGGAAAGGCCAAGUGGUACAACUAAUGUCGGACAAUGGCACAAACUUCAUUGGGGCAAAACGAGAACUGAGGGAGGCUGUUUCUGCUUUAAACCACGACCAUAUUCAAGGAGUACUUUCUCAGGUCGGAAACCAUUGGAGUUUCAAUCCACCAGCAGGCUCGCAUCAUGGUGGUGUCUGGGAGCGGAUGAUCCGGCUAGUGAGAAGGGUCCUCAGCUCUGUUCUGCGCCAGCAAACACUAGAUGACGAUGGGCUGCAUACAGUGCUUUGGCCUCCACUUUACAUUCUCAAUGAUCGCCCAAUUACCCAGCUCUCCAAUGAUCCGAACGACUUGGAGCUUCUCAUUCUUAAUCAUCUUCCACUUCUAAGGGGAAAACCAGCCUUGCCCCCUGGAGUCUUUGGGCCUCAUGACCAAUACAAGAUGGAGACAGAUUCAGUACAUCUCAGAUCUUUUUUCUGGAAACGAUGGGUGUGAGAGUACUUGCUCUUACUCCAAGAGAAGCAAAAAUGGAACCAGUAGAAAAUAGGUUUGAGCAGGGGAGACAUUGUAGUGGUGAUGGAUUCUUCAGCCUCUCGAGGCUCCUGGCCAUUGGGCUAAAUUCUUGAGGUCUUUACAGAUAAAAAGGGUCAUGUACAUUCUGUAAGAUUACAAACCAAACCUAAUGUAAUUGAAGUUUUAAAUUAUGCCUUUUAAGUCAUGUAUGUUUGGGCUAAUUGCAAUAUGUUUGUUUGUUUUGUUCAUUGAAUUGUUAUGUCUGCCUGCCAUUAACAAUUAGGGGCCGGUAUGUAGCAGCCAAAUGGGUUGCUACAGCCAAAAUGUGUUGUCACUCAAUGUGUAAUGUCCCUGUUUGUACACUGGGUGUUGCCGUGCAUUGCACAGGUGUUUUUAGGCAUAUAGGUAGGAAGCCUACUGUUGUGGUUAGGUGUUGACCCCGGAAGGGCAAAUGGUUUUGACCGCUAUACCGCGAAGGUUUGAGUAACAUGUCGUUGCUCUGCGUUUUAAUGGACAAUAAAUGGAGAACUGUUUAACGAACGCAAUGCGUGUAUGGACUUUAUCUCGCUGAGGAUCUAAGCGCGUCAACCAGGUUAUUCCUGGGGUACAACAACCCAGUAGCUCAGUAGUGUACUGUGCUCCCACAC
ensembl:lncRNA